CACAUAUCUGGCUACAGAUCUCCCCAGAGAUAAAACCUUGUGGACAAAGAGAAAAAAACUCCUGCUGGAAAUCACAGUAUGAGAAGUUACUAGGUCAGACAUCAAAAGAAGAAUGCAGUCAAACCUCGGUGAGAAGGACCUUCCCAGGUACUGUUAACAACCAACACAACAGUAAGCCCCUGCCUCCCAAGUCAAAAGGCAUAAGUCGCUGGAAACCCCCGGGGAGCUGGCCUGAGCCUUCACACAGAGAAAUCUGAGGAACCAUUCCAGAACAGACAAGAGCAGGAAGUUGCACCUUCCACCCAAGACCAUUGGGCCCUCCCUGGUAACAGCAGGAAGUGUCGCCUUCCCUCAAGAUCCACUGGACAAGACCACCAGGGCCACCCACUGCGGUGCUUUAAUCUGCAUGCGCUUUUGCUCUUUUCCUUUGUUCUUUCGGCUCUGCCAAGUUAAGGUUUCAGUUGUUAACACUUCUUGUCUGUUGACCGUGAUACCUCCAAGGCCUUUAACACUGUUUGUUUAUUUGUUUGUUACCUUAGUCACUCCUCAUGAGUGACUAAGUGACAUGAGUAUGGGUCCAGGGCCAGGCUACAACAUGCAGUUAAUUAUGCUGUC